rnacentral:tRNA from 1 species
GANCUCGUGGCUCAGCUGGUAGAGCAUGCGCUAUACAAAAGCGGCGUCCAUGCGUGGGUUUGAAUCCCACCGAGGCUA